AAGGGAGACCUAAUUCAGGUAUAAGACGAAAAAAAAGUAGUCCCUACCAAGAAUCAAUCCCAAAAGGUCGGAACGAGGUAUGAGGCUUUCAAACUAGGUUCUGGGUUCAUAAAAGACCUGAAUCAGGAACAAGGGCUAUUAGCUCAGGUGGUUAGAGCGCACCCCUGAUAAGGGUGAGGUCCCUGGUUCGAGUCCAGGAUGGCCCACCUGCACAGGUGGCAAAAACAAGAGAAGCGAGGAAUCAGCACCUUAUCUUAUAUACAUAUAUAAGAGAGAAUGCUGGCUCUGAGUACAGAGUCCAGAGGAACCUUGAAAACUGCAUAGAGCUAGGUGAAAAAGCCAAAAAAGAAGACCGCCUCAA
rnacentral:tRNA from 1 species